UACGUAGGUGGCAAGCGUUGUCCGGAAUUAUUGGGCGUAAAGCGCGCGCAGGCGGUCCUUUAAGUCUGAUGUGGAAGCCCACGGCUCAACCGUGGAGGGUCAUUGGAAACUGGGGGACUUGAGUACAGAAGAGGAAAGCGGAAUUCCACGUGUAGCGGUGAAAUGCGUAGAGAUGUGGAGGAACACCAGUGGCGGAAGGCGGCUUUCUGGUCUGUAACUGACGCUGAGGCGCGAAAAGCGUGGGGGAGCAAACAGG
rnacentral:rRNA from 1 species